CGCAAGCCUGACGGAGCAACGCCGCGUGAGGGAGGAAGGCCUGUGGGUUGUAAACCUCUUUUAUCAGGGAAGAAUAACUGACGGUACCUGAUGAAUCAGCAUCGGCUAACUCCGUGCCAGCAGCCGCGGUAAUACGGGGGAUGCAAGCGUUAUCCGGAAUUAUUGGGCGUAAAGAGUCCGUAGGUGGUCUUACAAGUCGACUGUCAAAGCCCGCAGCUUAACUGCGGAGAGGCGGUGGAAACUGUGAGACUUGAGUAUGGUAGGGGUAGAGGGAAUUCCCAGUGUAGCGGUGAAAUGCGUAGAUAUUGGGAAGAACACCGGUGGCGAAAGCGCUCUACUGGACCAUAACUGACACUGAGGGACGAAAGCCAAGGUAGCG
rnacentral:rRNA from 1 species